GACAGUUUAUCAGACAGAAGCCAGCUUCUCCUUGGUAUAAUGCCGAAACACGUUCCUUUAAACAAGCAGCACGUAAAUUAGAGAGGCUAUGGCGCCGUUCCAGCUCAGAGCAUUCUUUUAGUGCCUGGAAAAACAGCUUAUUGGCCUAUAAGCAGGCCCUGCGUACGGCUAAAACUAGAUACUACUCAUCCUUAAUCGAGAAAAACAAGAAUAACCCUAGAUUCCUGUUCAGCACUGUUGCCAGGCUGACAAACAGUCACAGUUCAGUAGAACCCUCUAUCCCACUUACUCUCAGCUGUGAUGACUUCCUACAAUUCUUUAACGAUAAAAUCUCAACUAUUAGGAACAAAAUAGAUGAACUACUUCCAAAUAUUAGGUCUGACAAAGCACAGGCUACUAACCAAGAAUCUCUUCUAAACCCCCCUACAAUGUUAGAUAAUUUCACUACUGUAGAUGGAGCUGAUGUAGCAUCUAUCAUUAUGUCCUCCAAACCAUCGACCUGCCUCUUAGACCCAAUCCCAACCAAACUUUUUAAACAGACUCUGCCCCUAACUAUUGACACAAUUCUAACUAUAAUUAAUACCUCACUAGUUACUGGCUACGUGCCACAAUCUUUUAAAUUUGCAGUUAUUAAACCACUUCUGAAAAACCUACUCUAGAUCCUGACCUCCUGGUCAGUU